GAUGAAGAACGCAGCGAAAUGCGAUAAGUAAUGUGAAUUGCAGAAUUCAGUGAAACAUCGAAUCUUUGAACGCACAUUGCGCCCGCCAGUAUUCUGGCGGGCAUGCCUGUUCGAGCGUCAUUUCAACCAUCAAGCCCCAGGCUUGUGUUGGGGACCUGCGGCUGCCGCAGGCCCUGAAAACCAGUGGCGGGCUCGCUGUCACACCGGGCGUAGUAGAUUUUAUCUCGCUCAGGGCGUGCUGCGGGUUCCGGCCGUUAAAAAGCCUUUUUUACCCAAGGUUGACCUCGGAUCAGGUAGGAAGACCCGCUGAACUUAAGCAUAUCAAUAAGCGGAGGA
rnacentral:misc_RNA from 1 species